rnacentral:lncRNA from 1 species
UCUACUCUAAUCCAUAGAUUUCAUAAUUUUAUCUUUCAAAAAAUACCUCAUAUAGGAAAGAUGAUCUCUUUCUAUAACACCACAAUAGAUAUAAAUAUAAAUCCAAUAUUGAAAAUACAGACAUAAAUAUGGAUAUAAGUCGAAUAAUUAAAUUUUAUAACUAUCGAUAAAUAGUAAAUCAAAUUAGUAACUUAUUAUCAUAAUUGCAUAUUUUCCUAAGA